GAUAGUAGAGUUAGAAAGGAACACAUUAACUAGCUAAUUAGUCAUGUUUUACUUAAUUAUGAAAUCUUCAACUUUAUUGUGCUUGAUAAAUGAUAUGCACUAAAUUUUGUUAGUACUAUAUUGUGAACGAGAUUGUAUAAUGUGUAGAUAUGUGGUAGGGGAGCUUUAUUAGUGUUGUCAUAUGAUCAUAACUCUAGGUUCUUUCAUGAAUUGGGUGUGGGAAUAUGUUGUUGAUACUUGUUUAAUGAUGUGUAUGUGAUAUGUGUUCUAUACCUUAGAAUUCGUUACACUAUUUACAUUGUGUGUUGUUUAUCACCCCUUCUGUUUGAAUGUUGUCUUUAUAUGUGCAUCGUGCAGAUACUCAGGAGUAAUAUUGCUGAAGUAAGUGGAAGGUAGCUCUUGGAGUGGCUUCCCGUAGUUUGUCAUUUUCUUUAGUAGGGUCUUACUCUAAUCAAUGUAACAUCAGGUUGGAAAUGUUUGCUUUCACUUAUUUUGUUUUGUUGAAGUUGUUAUUUAUGUUUGAUGAGAUUUCGACAUUGUGAUGAGUUGAAUAUAUAACUCUUUUUGUGGUGUUAUGAAAGUUGAAGUUUCUGAGACUAAACAUCUUGAUAUGAAAGUUGAAUUUUGUGAAAAGUGGUAUGCAACCAUUCAUGGAGUUAGGAUGAGGCGUGAGAGAGUCUUAAGGUUUUGUUUUGAGAGAGACGGUUGUGUUCUGUCCUGAAUGAGCAAACAGUUUCUAAAAUAUAUAUUAUACUUUUCACAGCGGUUGAUAUAAACGACCGUGAUAA
rnacentral:lncRNA from 1 species